GACAAACGCUGGCGGCGUGCAUAAAACAUGCAAGUUGGACGAACAAAAUCCCGCAAGGGACCAGUUAGUGGCGAACGGCUGAGUAACACGUAGGUGACCUGCCCCGAAGUGGGGGACAACUUGCCGAAAGGCGAGCUAAUACCGCAUGUGACCACCGGUUUGUUCCGGUGCUCAAAGCAGUAAUGCGCUUUGGGAGGGGCCUGCGGCGGAUUAGCUAGUUGGUGGGGUAAUGGCCUGCCAAGGCUUCGAUCCGUAGCUGGUUUGAGAGGAUGGCCAGCCAGACUGGGACUGAGACACGGCCCAGACUCCUACGGGAGGCAGCAGUUAGGAAUUUUGUGCAAUGGGGGAAACCCUGACACAGCCACGCCGCGUGCGGGAUGAAGGCCUUCGGGUUGUAAACCGCUUUUUUCAAGGAAGACACCCGACGGUACUUGAGGAAUAAGCAACGGCUAACUACGUG
rnacentral:rRNA from 1 species